rnacentral:lncRNA from 1 species
AGAGCGGGGUCCCGGCACCGCGGCGCUCGGGUGUUUUUGGGGGCCCGGGUGGAGGGCCCGGGUGCCGGGGCCCAAGGUGCGGCCUCGCUAGCGGGAGAGGGAGCGGGAUCACCGGCCCGGAGAGAGGCAUAAGGUAGGAACAAAAAAGGAAGAACCAGCCCUUCCAGGGCUCAGGGGAGCAACACCAGAAUGUCCGCUCAGUACUUGUGAGGACAGAGGCUGGAGAGAGGACUACCCAUUUACACUCAGAACCUCGAUUCCUCUCUCUGCUCUGUGCUGGAGAGUGCAGAGCCAGAGAUCCAGAACGGCCCAUCUCUAAAGGUGGCCAUGUAUGGUGCUCUCAGGGCCAGAGCGGGGCAGGAGGAUGCUUUCCCAGCCCCACCAUGGAGCUGCGCUGUGGGGGAUUGCUGUUCAGUUCUCGCUUUGAUUCAGGGAAUCUAGCCCACGUGGAGAAGGUGGAAUCUUUGUCCAGUGAUGGGGAAGGGGUAGGAGGUGGGGCGUCAGCCCUGACCAGUGGCAUUGCCUCUUCCCCUGACUAUGAAUUCAACGUGUGGACCCGACCAGACUGUGCUGAAACGGAA